CCCUACCAGUCAUGGGAACGGCAGACGAGCACGGAGCGGAGACAUUUUUACCUAACGGUUUCUCAGAAUCAAUACGCGAAUUCCCCGGGAGAUGCGAAAUCUAAUUAGAUUCUAAAGGCAACAAGACUGAAAAUUUCCCCUGAAUUUAUUUUUGCUUCCAUGCUUCCCAGAAGGGAGGAAGAACAGUUCUGGAUCCAGAGACUCUUGUUUUCCUUGAAGAUGAAAAGAAAGACAGUCCAGAUGGAGUCAAGAAAGUGCCAUUGUCACCCCCUGGGGCCCCUAGUGAGGGUCCAGUGGAAUGAAGUGCCCGGAAGACUGUGGAAGACUGAGGAACCGGGAUAUCAGGACUGCUUCUGUGGGCUGGUUGGUUGCAUUUGAGAGAAUCCUGGAAGCAGGAGAAAAUACAUUUGUCUUCUGCUAAUUGUUGCCUCCACUAAUCUGCAAAUGAUCACUGAAAUUAAA